CAAUUUCUUUCUUUCAUUCCUGGGUUUGUAGCUUUGACCACAGUUGCCAUUUUUAAAAAAUGAAAACUAUAUAAAAAUUCUCCUAACUGUCCCUGACCUCCAAGGAAGAAAUUGAGAAAAUAAAGGCAACAUGCGUAGAGGGAAGGUUCUAGUUAUCCUGACUGGAGUGUGAAAAAAUCCUGACCAUUGCUAUUAUGGUGGUGCUUGGCUUUGAGAUAAAGGAAGGUCUAUGAGGAGGUACCACAAGCUGUAUCAAGUGAACAUAUUCCAGCAUCAAAAGUGUUAUUCCAAAUAAUGUAUCAUGGAAUCUACAUAAGAGAAAGAGAAAAGAGAUGAAAUCUGGAGCCACAAAACAAUGGAAGACUCUCCUGUUUAGAAAGCUUAACAGAUGCAUUCCCAUUAAGGAGCCGUUUGCAUUUAAUUCAAAUCCAUCAGCUUGUGAUGCUGCUACAUGCUAUGCUAAGUGAUGAGAAGACUGAUUAUUGAAAGGAAUAUCUAUGUCUUUGGUGUCAGAUUGUGCUGUUUCCUUGCAGAGUGGACUUCAUAUUCACUGCUUCAGCUUGUAGAAAGUAGAUGAUUAAAGUUUGUGAAGA